rnacentral:misc_RNA from 1 species
UCUCCGUAGGUGAACCUGCGGAGGGAUCAUUACAGAGUUCAUGCCCUACCGGGUAGAUCUCCCACCCUAUGUUAUUAUUACUUUGUUGCUUUGGCGGGCCGUUAGGCUCCGGCCCGACUACCGGCCCCGGCUGGUAAGCGCCCGCCAGAGGACCCAAAACCCUGAAUAUUAGUGUCGUCUGAGUACUAUAUAAUAGUUAAAACUUUCAACAACGGAUCUCUUGGUUCUGGCAUUGAUGAAGAACGCAGC